rnacentral:misc_RNA from 1 species
GAUGAAGAACGUAGUGAAAUGCGAUAAGUAAUGUGAAUUGCAGAAUUCAGUGAAUCAUCGAAUCUUUGAACGCACAUUGCGCCCGCCAGCACUCUGGCGGGCAUGCCUGUUCGAGCGUCAUUUCAACCAUCAAGCCCCCAGGGGCUUGUGCUGGGGCCCUGCGGCUGCCCGCAGGCCCUGAAAACCAGUGGCGGGCUCGCUAGUCACACCGAGCGCAGUAGCACAUCUCGCUCAGGGCGUGCGGCGGGCUCCUGCCGUGAAACCCCCCACUGUAACCCCAAAGGUUGACCUCGGAUCAGGUAGGAAUACCCGCUGAACUUAAGCAUAUCAUAAGCGGAGGA